ACUCCUACGGGAGGCAGCAGUGGGGAAUAUUGCACAAUGGGGGAAACCCUGAUGCAGCCAUGCCGCGUGUGUGAAGAAGGCCUUGGGUUGUAAAGCACUUUCAGUAGGGAGGAAGGUAGUGUAGUUAACACCUGCAUUAUUUGACGUUACCUACAGAAGAAGCACCGGCUAACUCCGUGCCAGCAGCCGCGGUAAUACGGAGGGUGCGAGCGUUAAUCGGAAUUACUGGGCGUAAAGCGCAUGCAGGCGGCCUGUUAAGUCAGAUGUGAAAGCCCGGGGCUUAACCUCGGAAUUGCAUUUGAAACUGGCAGGCUAGAGUCUUGUAGAGGGGUUAGAAUUUCAGGUGUAGCGGUGAAAUGCGUAGAGAUCUGAAGGAAUACCAGUGGCGAAGGCGGCCCCCCUGGACAAAAGACUAGACGCUCAGAUGCG
rnacentral:rRNA from 1 species